UUAACUUAGCAGCUGAAUGUGUUAUAUAGUUUUUGUACUAUUUCCAAAAUUGUAAAGAUUACUUUAGAGACAAUGGAAAAUUUGGGCUUUACUUUUGAAGUAAAUGGAAAACAGGUAUUUUCAAACAUUGAAGUUCACAUUUUUUUUUUUUUUUUUUUUUUUGCAGUCAAUGCUCACUUCUUGGGUUGAUACUUUAUUAACAACAAAUCAAUUUGCCAUUUAUUAGGGAAGCAUUGUAGAGAAAUCUUUUUGCAUUCUUGACUACAAAUCAUGGUGAUGCAGAAAUUUUUAUAGAUCUACUAUCAUAUUCCCCAAAAUGGUGGUCUCACCACCAUUUAAUACCUAACCCUGCAUAAGUGGGCACCUUAUGUAUCCAACUUACUCUUCCAUUUUAAUACAAUUUUUAAAAUUAUGCAGUCAUCUUUUUUUUAAAGUUACUCCUAAAAAUCUGUGGAUUUAUCAAUAUAAUUUUAUUUUUUUAAUGGAAGUGAUGAAAGGAACUAUGACAAUUAAGAAAAUAAUUAGGAAAAAACCUCCAACAAUUUCUACUGUGAGGAGAAUUCCCUCUCUGCCUUCUAAGGAUCUGGGAUAUAAGAAAGAUGCUUUGCUGUGCUGAGUGGGGAGACUGUAUUGGACUAUGGAGGCUAAGUGGAGGAGCUAAAUGUGGAACACACUUGUUUAUAUAAAAAAAGAGAAUUUUCAUGACCCAGUAGCAGAACUCCAGAAAGGAGGGAUGAGAUAGGACGAGAGAGGCAGGAAGAAAAGAGGAGGGGAGAGGUUAUGGGUAGACUGGGUGGAAAGCAAGAGAGAGAGACAGAGAGAAAGAGAGACAGAGACAUGGAAAAAAUUUAAUGAACUAAACCUCAAUUAAAUAGAGUUGGGUGACCAGAAGGUGGCGCUCUCACACCCUGCAAAGAUGAUGGAGCCCAAUGGGAAGGACUCUUCUUUGCUUGCAGUGGCUCAGCCAAUGAAAAGCCAUGGAUCCUUAUUCUAGCCCACCCGGCUUUCCCCUGUAUAAAAGGGUUCUCCUUCCUUUGCCUUGUGGAGAUAUAAGUUGAUUACUGUGUUUGCAGACCCUGGACUGCAAUUCUUUACUAAUCCUGACUAAACAGCCCCCAUUUUUUUUCUUUCCUUUUUCUUUCUUUUUUUCCCAAGGAAUAACUGACAGUCUAUUUGGUAUAGGUCAAAAAACAGAAAGAGAUCGACAGAGAGAGAUAGAGAGAGACAGAGAUAAGUGGGUACAGAGAAAGCAUGAGAGAGAGUCCGAAGAAUAGCUACUAAGAAGAGGAAAUGAAAGGAAAAAGAGGGUAAAAUGGAAUAUUUAUGUGGUUUUGCUUGAUGAAUGACAAGUAAUAUCACUUCUCUGUUUACUUAGGGAAACUUUACUAUAUUUUACAUAAUCAGCACUGCUCAUGCACUUGAAUCUGUGGUCUGUGGAUAUGAAAACAUUAAAAAAGAAUAUACAUAUAUAUUUAUGACUGAGUCACUUUGCUGUAUAGCAGAAAUUGGCACAAUAUUGUAAAUCAACUAUACUUUAAUAAAAAUAAAAAAUUAGUUAAUUAAUUAAAAAUAAAUAUGAAAAUUCUCUUGAGAUUUCUCUUAAGGAAGACACAAGAAAAAGCUGGAGUCACCAAAUGAUCCAGUUACUAAAAGUCUGUAUAAGUUAUAUAUGAGCCAGUCCAGAGACAUAGCAUUUACUUUUCUUCGUAUAGUAGAAUAGAUAUACUUUUGAUAUUUAGGAUAAAGCCAGAUAGCCCCAAACAUCUCUUCACCAUUAUGCAUCCAGUGAUAAAAGAAGUACCAAAACAAUGAAAUUGAUUUUUCCUUGAUAUAAGGGUCUGGCACACAGCAGGUACAUAACAAAAUAUUUGUUGAAGGAAUGAACACACAAAUGGAUUUUUUCCGAACAUGUAGUUUUUUGUUCUUGUUUAAUAUUAUUAUUACUUCAAUAAAAUGUCUUGGGACCUUUUGGAAGACUCAGGAUUCCAGACAUGAUUUUUCAGUUUUAUUUGGCUUUAAAAUCUGACAUCGUAAUGGGUGCUGCUACUGCUGCACUUCAGAUCACUUAAUUUCUGGAAAUAAAUUCAGUGAACAGUCUCUGUGGAGAGCACAGCAAUGCAACGGAAACUCUAACGUCCUAUAAUGAAACCUAAUGAAAAAUCUCUGGGCUAGAUUAGACGGUGAUCUGAUGUGAGGCCAAGCAAAAGAGAACACUUAAGCGAAGUCCAUGGAGUUGAAAUUACACUUUGUAGACAUGCAGGCAGGUCGUGUGAGGCACUGAAACUGACUACCAAGACACCAGCAGUGCUAUCUGCAUUUUUUUAAACCUCCCUAGAGACUGGCUGUGAAAGCCAGCUACUUUUAGAGAGAUGUCAGCGUGCACUACUAGAGAUGUGUUUUGUGCAUCCAGCAUCAGGAUGUGUGGUCUGACAGCCGUGGGUGUAUUUGUCUGGACAGUGGCUCUGAGUUUGAAAUAGGACCUGUCGUGUACUAGAGUGUGGUCUUACAAUUCCUGUGGAUCAGAAGAUAGACUCAGAAAGGAAUGAGGAGGAAAAUGGGAGGAAGGUCUGGGGAGAGCAAAACAUUAAGUUCUGAGGGAAAUUAAAGAGACGUUUUGGAAUAUGUCCAAGAAAAAAAUAUCAAAGAAUGCUGGUGACGUUUCUAUCAGGUCUCUGGGCAUCUCUCACCAUCCAAAUCCUUAGGACACUGAACUGGGUAUGAAAGUAAUACAUUUAUGUGAAACAUAAAUUUACAAUGCAAAACAGUCAACCAAGCCAACUAAAUGUGUUUCAGACUCUCUGGACAACUCAUUCCCAGUAUCAAAAUAAUAGGAAAACACCUUAAUCCUCAGUAUAUUGAUUGGUAACCCAAUGAUCAAGGCAAGGAAACUGGAAGGAUUUCUUGGAUCAUUUCAUUCAUUUAAUCAGAAUUUGUAUUUUAUAAUACAAACAUGAGCCUGUGGUAGGGAUUGUUGGGGAUACCCGAAAAGUGGAAAUGCAGCUGUUUCCCAGUUUCUGCAAAGCUUUAUUUUUGAGACCAAACACUCAUAAUAAAACUAGAGAGGCAGUCCAGGUUUGUAGCAACAUGGGCAAAUCUAGCUUCCAUCCCUAGCUCCUCUGGGUUUCUGACCUAGGUGGCAGCGGACAAGCCACUCAACUUCUCUUUACCUAACUCUCUCACCUUUGUGAUGGAGAUGCUGAAAGGUGUCCAAAGGAGUGCUUGGAGAAAACAGAAAUUUUCUGUAUUCCUGGUGCAUAUUAAUGACUGAUAGUUUUUUUUUUUUAAUUAUUGGAGCAUAGUUGACUUAACAAUAUUGUAUUAGUUUCAGGGGUACACCAAAGUGAGUGGAUACACAUAUAUCCAUUCCUUUUCAGAUUAUUUUCCCACCUAGGUUACUGCACAGUAUUGAGUAGAUUGCCCUGUGCUACACAGUAGGCCCUUGUUACUUAUCUAUUUUAUAUAAUAGUGUGUAUAUGUCAGUCCCAACCUCCUAAUUUCUCCUUCCCCAAACAUUUCUCCUUUGCUUUGUUCAUAAUCUUUGGUUUCAAAAUCGUUGAUGACUGAUAGACUUUUUUUUUUUUUAACUCAAUAUUGCUUUAAUGUUCUGUGCACAUAGGAAAUAGUUUAGCAUAAGCUUGGAUCAAGGAACAGAUUCGGUGUCUUAAUUAUAUAGUAAUUGGGUCAACUUUCAUAAAAGGGAAAAUAUACUUUACAGUAGGAGGUAAUUUUUAAAAAGCAAAAGGAACAGCAAACAGAGUUGUAUGGUUAUUUAGUGUGCCAGUGGUCACACUCCAGAAUCAGGCAGCCUGGCUUUGACUUCUGGAUUCACAUCCCCAUUGGUAAAAUGGGAUAAUAGCAGUAUGAACCUCAUAAGUCUGUAGUGAUAAUAUAUAUGAUAUGUUUAGAGCUGAGCCUGGUACAUAGUGAGCAUUUGAUAACAGCUCAUGGAUUAGUAGGCAUAUUCUGAAAGCUUUAAGCCUGGUAGUUUCCUCUGAGAAGUCUCUUGCCCUCAGACUAGGUCAGAUUUCCCUGUUAAUGGCUCUCACAGACACCUGUGUUUAUCUUUUCCUGUGUUCACCCCAAUUCAAAAAGUUCAAAAAAUUAUUGGCAUAAAUAUGAACUUUAUGAUUGGCUUCUUCCAAUCCAGUAAACUCCCUGUGGGCAGGUCUUCUCUGUCUGAACAUCAGCAGCAUUUCUCCAGGGUAAGCCCAGCCUCCAGCACUUGGUAGGCAUUCACAUAUGCAUUGAAUAAUGGAAUGAAUGCAGCGAAAAGGUAAAUGGCUGUCUCCAAGGGCCAGUUUUUUUUUAAUGUGUAAUUUAGCUUUAAUUUUUCCAUUUCAUCACAAGCAUUUUCCUAUUCAAAAUGUGUAUGUAACAUGGUUUGCACAGCAGUACAGAAUAUUUCAUUAGCAGGCUGAGAAGAAGGAGAAAAAGGAGACCAUUUACAUGUAAAUGUAUGCUUAACUCAGCCCCAGAUGGAGAACACCCAAAGGGUACUUGCUGGCUUCCUUAGAUAGUAAUUGGAAGCCUAAUGCAGAAUAGGUUAAUUGUAGGGUAGUGGCAAGAUGCGUGCUGGGCUGUGCAAAAUAGCAGAGGGGAGACGGACAACCGGGCUCCACUGGCUCCAGAAUAAAGUACUCCUGAAACAUCCACUUCCUUUGGCUUUAGCAUGUCAUUAGUCAAGGGGAACUUGGAAGAAAUGGAAACGUUCCUCUAGAUGUAUAAAAAUAAACCUUUCUCUGACCCACACAGUUAUUUCACUAAGUGCAACCUGGGCUGUCUCCUUGGUCUUAAUUGAAACUCUUGAACUUCAUGAGCACAUCUGGGGCAAGGACUAGGUGCUUUUUUUUUUUCUCCCUCCCUUGUUCAUGCUAAUGUCUGCAAGAUAGCUGGCUUCCAAAACCAAUACCACCAAUACUACAGUAAUAUUUACCAAUAGCGUACUUAAACUUCAGUUUACACUCGUGCAGAAUCAGGAGUGAAAAUAGAAUCUAGCUCAGGGUUAAAAGAAGAUUAGAUAAGGGGAGUUCCCAUGGUGGCGCAGUGGUUACGGAAUCGACUAGGAACCAUGAGGUUGUGGGUUUGAUCCCUGGUCUUGCUCAGUGGGUUAAGGAUCCGGGGUUGCCGUGAGCUGUGGUGUAGGUCAUAGAUGUGGCUUGGAUCCUGCGUUGCUGUGGCUCUGGCGUAGGCUGGUGGCUACAGCUCCGAUUAGACCCCUAGCCUGGGAACCUCCAUAUGUGGCAGGAGCGGCCCUAG
rnacentral:lncRNA from 1 species